rnacentral:rRNA from 1 species
UGAGGAAUAUUGGUCAAUGGACGAGAGUCUGAACCAGCCAAGUAGCGUGAAGGAUGAAGGUUCUAUGGAUUGUAAACUUCUUUUAUACGGGAAUAAACGAAUCCACGCGUGGAUUUUUGCAUGUACCGUAUGAAUAAGGAUCGGCUAACUCCGUGCCAGCAGCCGCGGUAAUACGGAGGAUCCGAGCGUUAUCCGGAUUUAUUGGGUUUAAAGGGAGCGUAGAUGGGUUGUUAAGUCAGUUGUGAAAGUUUGCGGCUCAACCGUAAAAUUGCAAUUGAUACUGGCAGUCUUGAGUACAGUUGAGGUAGGCGGAAUUCGUGGUGUAGCGGUGAAAUGCUUAGAUAUCACGAAGAACUCCGAUUGCGAAGGCAGCUUACUAACCUGUAACUGACAUUGAUGCUCGAAAGUGUGGGUAUCAAACAGGAUUAGAUACCCUGGUAGUCCACACGGUAAACGAUGAAUACUCGCUGUAGGCGAUAUACAGUCUGCGGCCAAGCGAAAGCAUUAAGUAUUCCACCUGGGGAGUACGCCGGCAACGGUGAAACUCAAAGGAAUUGACGGGGGCCCGCACAAGCGGAGGAACAUGUGGUUUAAUUCGAUGAUACGCGAGGAACCUUACCCGGGCUUAAAUUGCAACCGAAUAUGGCGGAAACGCUAUAACUAGCAAUAGCGGUUGUGAAGGUGCUGCAUGGUUGUCGUCAGCUCGUGCCGUGAGGUGUCGGCUUAAGUGCCAUAACGAGCGCAACCCUUGCCGAUAGUUACUAACAGGUUAUGCUGAGGACUCUGUCGGGACUGCCAUCGUAAGAUGUGAGGAAGGUGGGGAUGACGUCAAAUCAGCACGGCCCUUACGUCCGGGGCUACACACGUGUUACAAUGGGGGGUACAGAGGGCUGCUACCACGCAAGUGGAUGCCAAUCCCAAAAACCUCUCUCAGUUCGGAUUGAAGUCUGCAACCCGACUUCAUGAAGCUGGAUUCGCUAGUAAUCGCGCAUCAGCCACGGCGCGGUGAAUACGUUCCC